rnacentral:rRNA from 1 species
UACGUAGGGCGCAAGCGUUGUCCGGAAUUAUUGGGCGUAAAGAGCUCGUAGGCGGUCUGUCGCGUCGGUCGUGAAAACUUGGGGCUUAACCCUGAGCUUGCGGUCGAUACGGGCAUGACUGGAGUUCGGUAGGGGAGACUGGAAUUCCUGGUGUAGCGGUGAAAUGCGCAGAUACCAGGAGGAACACCGGUGGCGAAGGCGGGUCUCUGGGCCGAUACUGACGCUGAGGAGCGAAAGCGUGGGGAGCGAACAGG